rnacentral:rRNA from 1 species
UACAGAGGGUGCAAGCGUUGUUCGGAAUUAUUGGGCGUAAAGCGCGUGUAGGCGGCUUUGCAAGUCGGGUGUGAAAGCCCUCAGCUUAACUGAGGAAGUGCGCCCGAAACUGCUUGGCGUUGAGUACCGGAGAGGAUGGCGGAAUUCCCCAAGUAGAGGUGAAAUUCGUAGAUAUGGGGAGGAACACCGGUGGCGAAGGCGGCCAUCUGGACGGAUACUGACGCUGAGACGCGAAAGCGUGGGUAGCAAACAGG